AGCGAACGCUGGCGGCAGGCCUAACACAUGCAAGUCGAGCGCCCGUAGCAAUACGGGAGCGGCAGACGGGUGAGUAACACGUGGGAACGUGCCCUUUGGUUCGGAAUAACUCAGGGAAACUUGAGCUAAUACCGGAUAAGUCCGUAAGGAGAAAGAUUUAUCGCCGAAGGAGCGGCCCCGCGUCCGAUUACGACGUACGUUAGGUUGGGGGUAAGGGUUAAGGUCCCGGACCCCCAAACCGGAACGGUACCGUAACGUACGGUUACGGGUACGUCGGUUCGGCGUAGGAAGGGAAGGUAGUACCGAACCGACCGACCCAACCUACGGGUACGGGUACGUAGGAACGAACCGGACCCCGGACCCGAACGUACCCUUACCCGGGUAAC
rnacentral:rRNA from 1 species